UUACGGCCACAUCACGUUGAAACACCGACUCCCAUACGAUCACCGAAGUUAAGCAACGUCUAUCUUGGUCAGUACCUAGAUGAGUGACCGCUUGGAAAUACCAGAUGCUGCAAG